rnacentral:rRNA from 1 species
UACAGAGGGUGCAACCGUUGUUCGGAUUUACUGGGCGUAAAGCGCGUGUAGGCGGGGUGGCAAGUCGGGUGUGAAAGCCCUCAGCUCAACUGAGGAAGUGCGCCCGAAACUAGCGUUCUUGAGUGUCGGAGAGGGUGGCGGAAUUCCCGGUGUAGAGGUGAAAUUCGUAGAUAUCGGGAGGAACACCAGUGGCGAAGGCGGCCACCUGGACGAACACUGACGCUGAGACGCGAAAGCGUGGGGAGCAAACAGG